CUGUAGUCCAUACCGUAAACGAUGAAUGCUAAGUGUUGGAGGUUUCCCCUUCAGUGCUGCAGCUAACGCAUUAAGCAUUCCGCCUGGGGAGUACGGCCGCAAGGCUGAAACUCAAAGGAAUUGACGGGGGCCCGCACAGCGGUGGAGCAUGUGGUUUAAUUCGAAGCUACACGAAGAACCUUACCAGGUCUUGACAUACUAUGCAAAUCUAAGAGAUUAGACGUUCCCUUCGGGGACAUGGAUACAGGUGGUGCAUGGUUGUCGUCAGCUCGUGUCGUGAGAUGUUGGGUUAAGUCCCGCAACGAGCGCAACCCUUAUUAUCAGUUGCCAGCAUUAAGUUGGGCACUCUGGUGAGACUGCCGGUGACAAACCGGAGGAAGGUGGGGAUGACGUCAAAUCAUCAUGCCCCUUAUGACCUGGGCUACACACGUGCUACAAUGGAUGGUACAACGAGUUGCGAACUCGCGAGAGUAAGCUAAUCUCUUAAAGCCAUUCUCAGUUCGGAUUGUAGGCUGCAACUCGCCUACAUGAAGUCGGAAUCGCUAGUAAUCGCGGAUCAGCAUGCCGCGGUGAAUACGUUCCCGGGCCUUGUACACACCGCCCGUCACACCAUGAGAGUUUGUAACACCCAAAGUCGGUGGGGUAACCUUUAGGAACCAGCCGCCUAAGGUGGGACAGAUGAUUAGGGUGAAGUCGUAACAAGGUAACCA
rnacentral:rRNA from 1 species